rnacentral:rRNA from 1 species
GACGAACGCUGGCGGCGUGCUUAACACAUGCAAGUCGAACGGAAAGGCCCCUUUGGGGGUACUCGAGCGGCGAACGGGUGAGUAACACGUGCGUAACCUGCCCUUGCCUUCGGGAUAACUUCAGGAAACUGGGGCUAAUACCGGAUAGGAAUCCUUGCUGCAUGGUGGGGGUUGGAAAGCUUCGGCGGUUUUGGAUGGACUCGCGGCUUAUCAGCUUGUUGGUGGGGUAGUGGCUUACCAAGGCUUUGAUGGGUAGCCGGCCUGAGAGGGCGACAGGCCACAUUGGGACUGAGAUACGGCCCAGACUCCUACGGGGGGCAGCAGAGGGGAAUAUUGCGCAAUGGGCGGGAGCCUGAUGCAGCAAAGCCGCGUGCGGGAUGACGGCCUUCUGGUUGUGAACCGCUUUCAGCAGGGGCGAAGCUUGUGGUGACGGUACCUGCAGAAGAAGCACCGGCUAACUACGUG